rnacentral:rRNA from 1 species
CAUGCAAGCCGAGCGGUAGAGAUCUUUCGGGAUCUUGAGAGCGGAGUACGGGUGCGGAACACGUGUGCAACCUGCCUUUAUCUGGGGGAUAGCCUUUCACAAGGAAGAUUAAUACCCCAUAAUAUACUGAAUGGCAUCAUUCGGUAUUGAAAACUCCGGUGGAUAGAGAUGGGCACGCGCAAGAUUAGAUAGUUGGUGAGGUAACGGCUCACCAAGUCUACGAUCUUUAGGGGGCCUGAGAGGGUGAUCCCCCACACUGGUACUGAGACACGGACCAGACUCCUACGGGAGGCAGCAGUGAGGAAUAUUGAACAAGGGGUGAGAGCCUGAUCCUGACGUCCCCCGUGAAGGACGACGGCCCUAUGGGUUGUAAACUUCUUUUGUAUAGGGAUAAACCUACCCUCGUGAGGGUAGCUGAAGGUACUAUACGAAUAAGCACCGGCUAACUCCGUGCCACUCCGUGCGGUAAUACGGAGGGUGCAAGCGUUAUCCGGAUUUAUUGGGUUUAAAGGGUCCGUAAGCGGAUCUGUAAGUCACUGGUGAAAUCUCACAGCAGAACUGUGAAACUGCCAUUGAUACUGCAGGUCUUGAGUGUUGUUGAAGUAGCUGGAAUAAGUAGUGUAGCGGUGAAAUGCAUAGAUAUUACUUAGAACACCAAUUGCGAAGGCAGGUUACUAAGCAACAACUGACGCUGAUGGACGAAAGCGUGGGGAGCGAACAGGAUUAGAUACCCUGGUAGUCCACGCCGUAAACGAUGCCUAACUCG